rnacentral:ncRNA from 1 species
GAAGUUUCCCUCAGGAUGGCUGGCACUCGACCGUUCCCGCACGGAACGCGAACGAGUCUCAUCUGGUAAAGCGAAUGAAUAGAGGCCUUGGGGCCAAAAUGACCUCAACCUAUUCUCAAACUUUAAAUGGGUGAGAUCUCUGGCUUUCUUGAAACUUGAAGCCACGAGCUUCUUAAUCUCGGAUCAGAGUGCCAAGUGGGCCAUUUUUGGUAUGCAGAACUGGCGCUGUGGGAUGAACCAAACGCAGAGUUAAGGCGCCCAACUCGACGCUCAUGGGACACCAUGAAAGGCGUUGGUUGCUUAAGACAGCGGGACGGUGGCCAUGGAAGUCGGAAUCCGCUAAGGUGUGUGUAACAACUCACCUGCCGAAGCAACUAGCCCUGAAAAUGGAUGGCGCUGAAGCGUCGAGCCUCUGCCGUCAGCGGCAAGUGGGUCGGUGCGAGCGCGCGAGCGCGAGCGCCGUCACGAGACCCUGACGAGUAGGAGGGUCGCGGCGGUGUGCGCAGAAGGAUCUGGGCGCGAGCCUGCCUGGAGCCGCCGUCGGUGCAGAUCUUGGUGGUAGUAGUAAAGCGAGGCCCUGAAGGACUGACGUGGAGAAGGGUUUCGUGUGAACAGCCGUUGCACACGAGUCAGUCGAUCCUAAGCCCUAGGAGAAAUCCUAUGUCAAUGGCGGCGUUCUUAUACUCAAGUGUUUACUCUCCGUCUCAUCGUCGUCGUCGCACUCUCGUCGCGCCUGACGCGCGCGCCCGCUUGCCGGGCGACGCUGUACGUCGCGCUGAACGACGAGCUGUGUGUGCGCGCGCGCGAGCUCAAGUGCUG